rnacentral:rRNA from 1 species
UGCAAGUCGAACGGAAAGGCCCAAGCUUGCUUGGGUACUCGAGUGGCGAACGGGUGAGUAACACGUGGGUGAUCUGCCCCGCACUUCGGGAUAAGCCUGGGAAACUGGGUCUAAUACCGGAUAGGACCACUUCUUGGAGGUUGUGGUGGAAAGUUUUUUCGGUGUGGGAUGAGCUCGCGGCCUAUCAGCUUGUUGGUGGGGUAAUGGCCUACCAAGGCGUCGACGGGUAGCCGGCCUGAGAGGGUGUACGGCCACAUUGGGACUGAGAUACGGCCCAGACUCCUACGGGAGGCAGCAGUGGGGAAUAUUGCACAAUGGGCGCAAGCCUGAUGCAGCGACGCCGCGUGGGGGAUGACGGCCUUCGGGUCGUAAACUCCUUUCGCUAGGGACGAAGCGUUAUGUGACGGUACCUAGAGAAGAAGCACCGGCUAACUACGUGCCAGCAGCCGCGGUAAUACGUAGGGUGCGAGCGUUGUCCGGAAUUACUGGGCGUAAAGAGCUCGUAGGUGGUUUGUCGCGUCGUUUGUGUAAGCCCGCAGCUUAACUGCGGGACUGCAGGCGAUACGGGCAUAACUUGAGUGCUGUAGGGGAGACUGGAAUUCCUGGUGUAGCGGUGGAAUGCGCAGAUAUCAGGAGGAACACCGAUGGCGAAGGCAGGUCUCUGGGCAGUAACUAACGCUGAGGAGCGAAAGCAUGGGGAGCGAACAGGAUUAGAUACCCCGGUAGUCCAUGCCGUAAACGGUGGGCGCUAGGUGUGAGUCCCUUCCACGGGGUUCGUGCCGUAGCUAACGCAUUAAGCGCCCCGCCUGGGGAGUACGGCCGCAAGGCUAAAACUCAAAGGAAUUGACGGGGGCCCGCACAAGCGGCGGAGCAUGUGGAUUAAUUCGAUGCAACGCGAAGAACCUUAC